GAUGGAGAUGGGAGAACACACAUUCUUUUGUGUUUGGUAAGUUCAGCCUGAUCAUCACAGAGCACCUUUGGUUUGCAGGUUGGCCUCAGUGAGUACUAUCUGAAUGAUCUACUUUAGCUGAGCAUGAACAAGUUUACCUAUUCCAACUAAAGGUGAGAGAGAGAGAGAUCAGAGGUACAAUUCAUUCACACUGACUCAACUGAAUGCAUGUGACCAAAACACUAAACACACAAAAAAAAGAAGAGAAAUAUUAAAUUAUACAGUAACUAUGUCUGAUAUUUUAGAUGUAUGCCCUGGAAUCCUGAAAUGAACUGGAAGUAGGAGACAUGAAUCAACAGAUCUCUGAGUUGGGCAAGUCAGUCCUUGCCUUUCCAUUGGGUGCUGGAGCAAAUGGGCACAUCUCUUUCCCAACUCUGUCGGUGACAUCACAUUGGUAGCUUGAAAUGAGGUAUGGUGGAACUAUGACAUCCCAUGGAUGUCAGCAAAUGUUACUGUCAUACUGUGAGGAUACUUUAUUUCAGAGAGCCGGCUGACUGGCACAAUACUGCUUGCCUGGCCACACUGAACGUGCUUCUAGUGUCUGCAGGUAUGGAUUUUUCAUACAACAUGAAGCCUAAAUACAAGUCAGCUACUCCGUCUGGUGCCCAAAGAUACAGCUAGCUGCUCUUGCGUCUCAAAAAAGCUGGUUGUUUAGAGCUUCUGUAGAAGACUGGUUUUGCGCGUACAGCUCUGUAGAGUUAUAUUUACGUCUAAAGCUAUGUAGUGAUUGAUUUUAGGCUUCUUCUUUUUUUGGGGGGGGGGUGCUGCACCCGUGGCAUACAGAAGUUCUCAGGCCAGGGGUCAAAUUGGAGCUGGAGAUGCAGUCUAAACCACAGCCUUGGCAACAUCAGAUGUGAGCCAUAUCUGUGACCUACACCACAGCCUGUAGCAAUGCUGGAUCCUCAACCCACUGAGCGGGGUCAGGGAUCAAACCCACAUCCUCACAGACACUAUGUAGGGUUCUUGACCUGCUGAGCCACAAUGGGAACUCCCCAGGCUUUUUUCCAAUAUCAAUUCAAGGUAAUCUGAAAGUAAUCAUGUGCUGAUUUAAGACCAAUGCUGCUGUGUAAUACAUACACAGGCAUAUAGAAGUUCCCAGGCCAAGGACUGAACCGAAGCCACAGCAGUGACAACACUGGAUCCUUAACCUGCUGAGCUACCAAGGAACUCCAACCAGGGAUAUUUCUUUACUUUGCUCACAACAUUGCUGUGAUAACAUGAUCUUUUCAGAACUUACUGAGAAUCACUGUGAUGUUUUAGGAGGAUCAUUAACUCUCUUGGAGGGGUACAGGGGUCUAGUCUAGGACUUGUAUCUACCUAACUCUGAGAUCCUGGAUAAUUUGUUUCACUUCUUGGGCUUUGGAGUCUGAGGGAUGGGAGUGGGUAAAGUGGAUAAUCUCAUGUCUUUGCUAUCUCUGAAAGAAAGGAAAAAUUAAACCAACUUGCAGCCAGUAUAUAAGCCAUAGCUAGAAAAAGACAGUUAUAUAUAGAAAUAUACAAAGUCUAUAUGGCAUGAUGGGAGAGGAUGCUGUGUGCCACAUCCCCAGUGUAUCCCCACUGAUAUGUUUACAAAGACCAGUUAACUAUUCAUAGAAAACAAUGUAUAAAUAAGUUGAAUAUUAGAGAUUGAACAAUGGCUUAUUCUGUCUGGAAUUAUUUAGGCUUUUUAGAUAUCCUUCUUCUGGCUAAUAGAGCAUAUUAAGGUUAGAAGAAAAUGAAAGGCAAGAGACAGGGGUAUUGCCUACCAAGGGACCAGCUGGCUACCUGGAGGUCCUCCUUGGCUGGCACCCUUAUUGCCCUUCCCUCACCAGGUCAUUUCUCUGGGACAGAUUCACAUUCUCACAGUUCAAACAGACUGAUGUAUAAACCAGAAUCUCAAUUUCAUUUUGCUGAUUUACAAGGAGAGAUUUAACUGCUUGAGGGGGCUGAACUUUUGCCCCCUUUUUUUUUUUGCCAGUAAGUUCUAGACACUUACCCAAAUAACAACUACAUAUAACAGAAAACCCAAAAUUAUAGUGGCUUAAACACAAUAGGAGUUUCCCAUAAAAGAAGUCUGGAAUAUACAACAUAUUCUAUAGUAUGACAUACAGUGUCAACAUAUCCAAGCUGAGUAGUUUCACUGGGACAUAAGCUCUAGUCUUUGUAUUCUGCCAUCCUCAGUCUGUGACUUCCAUUCUCAAGGUCACCUUGUAUCCCAAGAUGACUUCUAAAGGCCAGUCGUGAUGUCCAUGUUGCAGGCAACAGUUAGGAGGAAAGAAGAAAGGAUCUGUUUUUUCAGAGACUUCUCAUUAGUCCCAUAAACAUUUCCACUUAAAUGUCACUGGUGAGAAUCUCAUAGCCUCGUCUAGCUGCAAGAGCAUCUGGGAAAGGUGGUCUUUUAGAGAGGUACAUUGCUUCCCCAAAUAAAACUGAAGUCUGUUCUUAAGAAGGCAAGGAAUGGAGUUCCCUGGUGAUCUAGUGGUUAGGACUUGGGGCUUUCACCACUGUGGCCAGGGUUCCAUACCUGGUCUGAGAAUUGAAAUCACACAUCAGGCUGCCGCACACAGUGGCAAAAAAAAAAAAAAGAAAGAAAAAAGAAAAAAGAAAAAGGCAAGGAAAAGGAGGCUAGAGCAGGCAUUUCUUCUGCAACAGACAAAUUAUAAUCAUUAGGUGGCUGCAGUUCCCAUUGUGGCUCAGUUGUUAACAAAUCCGACUAGGAACCAUGAGGGUGCGGGUUCAAUCCCUGGCCUUGCUCAGUGGGUUAAGGACCUGGCGUUGCUGUGGCUGUGGUGUCGGCCGGCAGCUACAGCUCCAAUUAGACCCCUAGCCCGGGAACCUCCAUAUACCAUGAGUGCGGCCCUAGAAAAAGACAAAAAAAAAAAUCAUUAGGUAGCUGAAUGAAUGAACAAAGAGAGCUAGAUUUAUGAUUUAAGGUGCUAACAUUUAAGCUGGGCUUCCAAAUUUCAGUGUGCAUUUGAAUCACCAGGGAUCUAGUUAAAAUGCAAAUUCUUAGUAAGAAUAUCAGAGGUCAGGAUGGAAAUUCUGCCUUUCCAACAAACUCACAGAUGCUGCUGCUCUGCAGACCAAACGCUGAGUACAAGUGUUGAAAGCAUCAUUCCUAACAUUAUUGCUGUUUUCUCCACUAAUUGGAGGAAAACAGCUGAGGUGGCUGGGGUAUCGCAUGGGGACCCAAUGGCUAGGGGUGCUUUGGUAUCUGGAUUUGCAGUGAGUAGAAAGUGGCUAAAGCAGAAUGCACAGUUUGCUUCAACUGAACCUACUACAGCAACUUUUCCGUUAGAACAUCAGCAUCUGUGCUCUCUGGUGAGGGACUGAAGUCCCCACUCCCUCAGGAGAGAGCUGAGAAAGAGGAAGGACAGAAGGCAGUUAGGGGAAAGCGGGUCCCCUGGAUGUCAAGGUUGUGACUCAGAAUUCACUUUAUGGUCUAUUGUGCUGACUAAGAAAACAGACUUUGGCUGUACUGAGGCAGGAGUUUAACUUUGUGCCACCUUGGGAAGUGUCUGUGGAAGUCCUUUGGGUCAAGGCCAUCAAAAGGCCUUUGGCCUUAAGAGGUCCACCUUCUACCACUCACAAGUAAAAUGAAAACUACCAAUCAAAUAUCUCUUGCUUUGCCUUGCUCCCACCUAGCCCACAGACAUUCUUGGAUCACAGAGGCCCAUCUUUUUAUCUACUGCCCAUCAAUACUAGUUAAGUCAUUGCAACGGAGCCAGAACAUGAGAGAGACCUGGGAUAUAUUUUUAAACUCUGUUCUACAUUUUGUUCUUUUCUUUUCUUUUUUUUUCUUUUUUUCUUUUUUUGGCCCUGCCUGUGGCACAUGGAAGCUCCUGGGCCAGAGAUCAAACCUGAGCCACAGUAGCGAUCCCAAGCUGCUACAGUGACAACACUGGAUCCUUAAGCCACUGCACCACAAGAGAACUCCUCCUGUUCUAUAUUUUAAACUCCUGGGAACGUUUUUAGUGACGAAAAGUCAAAAGACAAUUGUAAAAAAUGUACUAUAAAUCUUAUUUAUUUUUAAUAAAUUUUAAUUUAGCAUACAUACAAAAUGCAAUGAUUGAACACAUAUAAGGUCAAUCUGAGGCCCUUUGUGACAGUGAGGCCAAAGCCAGUGGCCCUCUCUGCUUCCUGUGACAAACCUUGGGAAGCUUGGGACCAGAUGCCUGCUCCUCCACCCUGAUUCCCUAUGUGCUUGGGUGGGCUCUAUGGCAUGAGUUGGCAAUUGUCUAUUCAGUACCUACUUCUGUCUACUUCUUCAUUGAUAAAACUGCAAUUUUGCCUUGGGGGCAACAUGUCAGUUAAAAUACAUAGUCUCCUCACAGGCUGGGGCAGGCCAGGUGACCCAUUCCAGGCCAGUGGGAUAUGGACAGAAGUCUACUGGAUGGGGCUUUAGCAAAGUCAUUAUUUUAAUGACAGAGAGGGAAAGACUUAUCUGACAUAUGGAUUUUGCCCUUCUAGCUCCUUCUUUGUAUGUAACACCUGGAGGUGGAAGAGUCAUUUUGUAGUCAAAAGUAUGAAAGUCAAAUGCUAAGUGGAGAGGGUGUGAAGACAAGGAACCCCUCCUACACUGUUGGUGGGAAUGUAAAUUGGUGCAGCCACUAUGAAGAACAGUAUGGAGUCUCCUUAAAAAACUAAAUAAAGGAGUUUCCAUCGUGGCUCAGUGGAAACAAAUCUGACUGGUAUCCAUGAGGAUGCAGGUUCAAUCCAUGGCCUCGCUCAGUGGGUUAAGGAUCUGGAAUUGCCGUGAGCUGUGGUGUAGGUUGCAGACAUGGCUCAGAAGUGGCAUUGCUGUGGCCGUGGUGUAGGCCAGAGGCUAAAGCUCCAAUUCGACCCCUAGCCUGGGAAUCUCCAUAUGCCUCAGAUGCAACCCUAAAAAGAAAAAAAAAAGAAAAAAA
rnacentral:lncRNA from 1 species